rfam:Ficedula albicollis isolate OC2 chromosome 12, whole genome shotgun sequence.
GGCGCCAGCGCGGGCAACGGAAUCCCAAAAGCAGCUGUCCCCGCUGUGCCCAGCUGCCCUGGGGUUUCGUUACCCGCGCUCCCGCCA